AUUGAACGCUGGCGGCAGGCCUAACACAUGCAAGUCGAGCGGAGCGGCGGACGGGUGCGUAAUGCCUAGGAAUCUGCCUGGUAGUGGGGGAUAACGUCCGGAAACGGGCGCUAAUACCGCAUACUAUCAGAUGAGCCUAGGUCGGAUUAGCUAGUUGGGGGGUUAAAGGCCUACCAAGGCGACGAUCCGUAACUGGUCUGAGAGGAGGAUCAGUCACAUGGGAAUUGAGAAACGGUCCAGACUCCUAGGGGAGGCAGCAGGGGGGAAGAUUGGAAAAUGGGCGAAAGCCUGAUCCAGCCAGGCCGCGUGUGUGAAGAAGGUCUUCGGAUUGUAAAGCACUUUAAGUUGGGAGGCGUUACCAACAGAAUAAGCACCGGCUAACUACGUGCCAGCAGCCGCGGUAAUAC
rnacentral:rRNA from 1 species